CUUCUAUAGGCCGUCUGUAAGAAAUUUCGGAACAGAGUGCUAAUCUCACUUCUCUCUCGUCUAUUCUCGUAGUGUGAUCUCUGUCUCCCUUUUCUUCCGUGCUGCAUAAGGAAAUAGAACACGGUUGUCGUUGCAAGUAAUGGGUAAAAGGUUGUUUUCCGGCAAGGUGAGUUCUUUACCGGACAAUCUCCGGUGCCGACGAUCCGAUGGCCGGCAAUGGCGGUGCCCGCAGCCGGCCAAAUCUGGUCUCAGCUUCUGUGAGUACCAUUACCAGCAGUUACGCCGUAACCAGGAUAACAUCAAGAACAACAAUGUGGUGGCUGCCGCAGCCGCCGAGCCCGAACGGAGGCUUCUUUUUGCGGCCGAUCCGCCACUGUCGGAAAAGAGACGGCGGAGGCGAAUAAGGAAGGAUCCGGCGGCGGCGGCGCCGAUCUUGUUGGAGAAGAUGGAUGAAGGAGAUCUAAAGAGAAAAUCUUCUGACCUGAAGCUGAAUGGGAGCCUGUCCUCGCCGGAUAAAUUUCAGCAUCAUCAAUUCGACGACCGAGAAUGGCAGUGCUCGCAGCCAUCUAUGCCUUUUCUCAGCUUCGGCGGUCGCCGCCACGUACGCUGCAAACAGCCAAACGAAGAGAAUAACAAGGUAAUUGAACCAAAGCCCAAGCGGAGUCCUCGCCUUGUUGCCGAUCCGACGCCGUCGAUAAAUCGUCGACGGCGGCGGCGGGUGAAGGGGGGAACUAGGGCAGAGGAGUCGAUGAAGAUCUCGGAGCGGGAAGAGAUUACGUGUGACAUGGAGGCUGCUGAACCUGCAGUGACGAGGGACCUUUCGAUUCCAGAUGCGUUCCGGUGCCGGCGUUCCGAUGGCCGGAAAUGGCGGUGCACGCAGCCGGCCAUUCCUGGUCUUGGCUUUUGCGAGCAUCACCAGAUGCGCUGCAAACAGACCUACAACAAGAACACAAUGGUAAAGGUCGCGAAGUCCGAUCGGGGAUUUCAGUUUCCCGUCAAUCCACGGCAUUCGACAAAGCAGAUGCAGCGAAGUCAGAUGGGGGAGCAGCUUGUGGAGGAUCUAAUGAGGAUGGAGCAAAAUAAGCAGGGCUUGAAGGCAGUGGAGCUGGCCACGAUUGAACUAAGUUUGCACGAUAAAGAACUGUUGUGCUGCAAAGAGGACAACAGCAAAAAUGGCGAGGCGGAGCAAAGGGAGAUGGAAGCUGAGACCGCCGAGUAUUCCACUCCAGAAGAAAUGGAGGCCGUCGAGCCGGCUACGCCGGCCCAAAAUCUUUGUGACAACGACCAGCAUUGCUGCAAAGAGGACAACAACAGAUACAAGGAGGCGGCCACCAAGCCCAAUUGUAGGUUGUACUUCACCGGAGAUCCGCAACCUUCUAUGAAAGACCUCUCUCUACCGGAUCACCUACGGUGUCGGCGAUCCGACGGUCGAAAAUGGCGGUGUCCUCAACUGUCUGUGCCUAGUGUUGGCUUCUGUGAGUAUCAUUACCUCCAGUUGCGACGCAACCAGGGUAAAAGGAAGAACUCCAAGUUGGCUUCAGGGGCUAAACGCAAGCGGGAGUUGCGCCUUGCCACUAAUCAGUCUCUAGCUAGGAAGCAGCGGCCUCAGCGGAUGAACUGGGGGCUGCCGGGGGAAGAGCAGAUGAGGACAAAGCAGAAAGAGGAGAGAGAUGAAGGGAUGGAGGCCACCAAUGUAGAGGUCACGAGGGACCUUCCCAAUGGUGUGAUGGCGAUCUCGCCAGCGCCUGUGAGUGUUCCGGCUAAUGCAUCUCCUUGGCUCCAUUGGAAGAUCGGGUCUGAUGAAGGGUAUUUGUUUGAGCGGCGUUUCCGAUCGAAGAAUGCUGAGCUGGUGCCAUUGGUAAAGCUUCCUUUUUCCAGAAGUGUGAUAGGUCGCAGAAAGAAGGUUUGUCAUCGUUGCAGGGCCAGGGAGAAUAAAGAUGAGCGCAGGAUCUGUUGUUUUAAUUGCCAUGAGUUCUUCUGCUCAACCUGCAUUGAGACUUGGCACUCCGAGUUAUCCGAACUUGAAGUCAAGAUGUCUUGUCCUGUCUGUCUUGGUUGCUGCACCUGCAUAAAUUGCAAUUCCAGAAGUGAUAAGGAUGGUGGGUCUAAGAAACUAGUAAUUCGUCAAAACAAGCUAGGCACAAGGUGUUAUGACCAUCAUUUGAUUUGUGAUCUCAUCCCACUAGUGAAGCAAAUUAAUGGCGAACAAAUUGCUGAACUGGAAAUAGAAGCAAAUAACCAAGGAAUGGAGCUACUUGAUGCUAGCGUUGAAGUUGCAAAAUAUAGUGACAAUGAGCAAGUUUACUGCAACAAUUGCAGAACAAAGAUCAAUGAUUUUUAUAGGAAUUGCUCCACGUGUACUUACAGAUUCUGCCUAAGCUGUUGUCAGAAGAUUCGGGUUGGAAGUUUGACUAAAGGUGAUGGAACAGUUGUUUGCAAGUAUUUGAAGAGAAACCAUAAAUAUUGUCGUGUUGACAAGGCUUUCUAUGGAAAGAAAGUUGGACUUUCUUCUAAAAAGCAUGUUAAUGUUUCAGCCUUGUGUACAUCAGUUCUGCCUGACUGGACAACUAAUAAAGAUGGCAGCAUUUCUUGUCCUCCAAAAGUGCUUGGAGGUUGUGGUGUUGGCAUUCUCAAUAUUAAUUUUGCUAUCAUGUCCGUCUCUGCUAAAUCCAUUUCAGAAUAAAUCGUUUCUUCUCUUGGUUAACCUUAUAAGGUUGGACGAUGCUUUUACUUCUACUCUUUUGGUUCUUCAAAGGAUAGCUUGGGAUUUCAUAUUUGAUUGAAAGAAGGCUUACUGGGAUGAUACCUUUUUCCAGUAAUGCUUUUUUCUCCCCUGGUGAAUUGUAGCUUUGUGCUAUGGGUCACUCGUCGCUUCUUUGCAACAAGCUAUUGUGCAAUGCAAGCUUUUUGAAUUUGUUUGUAGGUAGUGCGUCGUUAGUGGACAACCAAUAGUCACCUGUUGUUGCAUGCAAGCGGACUACAUUCAGUGUAUGUUUUGCUCAUCAGCAGGUCAUAGCGCUAUGUUAUAGGUCGCUCGUCGCUUCUUUCAAGCAACCUAUCGUGCCAUGCAUGCUUUGUUGAAUUCAUUUGUAGGUAGUCAGGGACAUUCAAAAAUCACCCGAUGUUGCGUAUAGAUGAACCAUAUUCAACGUGGAUUUUUCAACAUUACCCACAGGUGGGUUAUAGCUCUGUGCUACGAGUCGCUCACUGCUUCUUGUAGACGAGCUGUCGUGCACUGAUGAGUUUUAUGUAGUUUCUCAUAGAUGCUUGCAUUGAUCACAAGCUCAUUACUUCGUCUACAUGUAGUGUAUUGCACUGGUUGUAAUCUCCUUUUGUUUGUGAAGAAUCCAUCAUACUUACGGCAAGUCCACUAUUGUUUCUUGUAGACAGGAUCGUUGUAUGCAUUACAGGCCUUCUACCAUUACCUACGGGCAAGUUGCUUUGCAUGCAAAUAUUCUAGUGUUGCCCAUAGGUAUUUGCAUUUGCAGAAGUUCUUUUGUAUUUGUUGAAUAGAUCAUAUCAUCCUCAUCAUUCGUAAGGAAUGAUCGUAUUCAUGUGCAAGUGAACCGACAUUGAUUGCAGGGAUGCUCUAGCAUUCAUUUCAUGCUAUUUGUUAUCAUCCAGAGAUAUAUAAUAUAUGGUGAGCUUAAGUAUUUUUUAGGGCUGUGAACAAGCCAUUUAGUUCUACCAUGCUCAAGUAUGUUUAUUUGUUUUAAUUGUUGUUCAUAAGGCUUUUGUAAUUCAAGUAUGAUUUUUACUCCUUUCGAAAUUUAAAUUAAUUAAAAAUGAGAAUAAAAUCAAUCCAUGUAAGAUUUGAGCAAGUUUCCAUUCCACUUUCUCCUAAAUCAAGGUGCCUCACCUGCACUGAAAAAAAAUGGAAAAGGGCUUGAUAAAUAAACACCAAAUGAGUUAUUAAAUAAUCUGCUAUCAAACAAAUAAUAGAUGAGUACUUUAGGGGGCUAUUUGUUAAAUUACAAACAAAUAUGUUAAAAGAACGUAAACAAAAUAUUAGUUUAUUUUCUAUCUAUUACCUUAUUGCUUGUUAUCUCAUUUUCACUACUUAAUGAAGUGCGCUUAUGAGUUUUACACUCCAGUUUAUUUGCUGAAUUACGUGACCAUGCAGUUUUUCUGUAUUACUUGUGUUAUCAAAUCUCUUAAAAUUUUUAGUAUUUUUAAUGUAUUUUUAGUAUCUUGCUCGAUGUAAAGCAACCUAAAAUAAGACACAUAAUCAUAUUUGUUUCAGAACUGACGAUUGCUUUCUAAUGUUUCAUGGGAACUACUGCUGUAUUCUGAAAUGGAGUUUUUUCUUCCCCUCUGAAAAUUGUUGCUAACUUUUCUAUACUGUUCUUAUUAAUCUGCAUUUAUCAUAUUUCCAUUUAUGCGAUGAUAAGUUCAGAUAUGUGCUUGUUAAAUUCAAAAUUGGAUUCAAUGUUUACAUUUUGUUUUUAGAAGUGUACAAACGGUUGUUUUUAUUCCUAGCACCUUUCAUUUAACAGAAUAAUAUUGUGUAACUAUUCCUACUCUAUAUUCAUUUUGAUUUAAAUUUCAUGGUAUUUAUUCCGCCAACAUGGUACCAUAUAAUUUUCCUGCAGAUUUAGCCUUGUGAAAACAUUCCAUUCUAAUGUAUAUAUAUCCC